rnacentral:miRNA from 1 species
CGCAACGAGACAGCGCACCGUGCGGAACCGCACGGUGCGCUGUCUCGUUGCG